rnacentral:rRNA from 1 species
CUGCAGUCGACGGCAGCACGGGUGCUUGCACCUGGUGGCGAGUGGCGAACGGGUGAGUAAUAUAUCGGAACGUACCCUAGAGUGGGGGAUAACGCAGCGAAAGUUGCGCUAAUACCGCAUACGAUCUACGGAUGAAAGUGGGGGAUCGCAAGACCUCAUGCUCAUGGAGCGGCCGAUAUCUGAUUAGCUAGUUGGUGGGGUAAAAGCCUACCAAGGCAUCGAUCAGUAGCUGGUCUGAGAGGACGACCAGCCACACUGGAACUGAGACACGGUCCAGACUCCUACGGGAGGCAGCAGUGGGGAAUUUUGGACAAUGGGCGCAAGCCUGAUCCAGCAAUGCCGCGUGAGUGAAGAAGGCCUUCGGGUUGUAAAGCUCUUUUGUCAGGGAAGAAACGGUGAGGGCUAAUAUCCUUUGCUAAUGACGGUACCUGAAGAAUAAGCACCGGCUAACUACGUGCCAGCAGCCGCGGUAAUACGUAGGGUGCAAGCGUUAAUCGGAAUUACUGGGCGUAAAGCGUGCGCAGGCGGUUAUGUAAGUCAGAUGUGAAAUCCCCGGGCUCAACCUGGGAAUGGCAUUUGAGACUGCAUGGCUAGAGUGUGUCAGAGGGGGGUAGAAUUCCACGUGUAGCAGUGAAAUGCGUAGAGAUGUGGAGGAAUACCGAUGGCGAAGGCAGCCCCCUGGGAUAACACUGACGCUCAUGCACGAAAGCGUGGGGAGCAAACAGGAUUAGAUACCCUGGUAGUCCACGCCCUAAACGAUGUCUACUAGUUGUCGGGACUUAAUUGUCUUGGUAACGCAGCUAACGCGUGAAGUAGACCGCCUGGGGGAGUACGGUCGCAAGAUUAAAACU